GAUGAACGCUGGCGGCGUGCCUAAUACAUGCAAGUCGAGCGAACAGACGAGGAGCUUGCUCCUCUGACGUUAGCGGCGGACGGGUGAGUAACACGUGGAUAACCUACCUAUAAGACUGGGAUAACUUCGGGAAACCGGAGCCAAUACCGGAUAAUAUAUUGAACCGCAUGGUUCAAUAGUGAAAGACGGUUUUGCUGUCACUUAUAGAUGGAUCCGCGCCGCAUUAGCUAGUUGGUAAGGUAACGGCUUACCAAGGCAACGAUGCGUAGCCGACCUGAGAGGGUGAUCGGCCACACUGGAACUGAGACACGGUCCAGACUCCUACGGGAGGCAGCAGUAGGGAAUCUUCCGCAAUGGGCGAAAGCCUGACGGAGCAACGCCGCGUGAGCGAUGAAGGUCUUCGGAUCGUAAAACUCUGUUAUUAGGGAAGAACAAAUGUGUAAGUAACUAUGCACGUCUUGACGGUACCUAAUCAGAAAGCCACGGCUAACUACGUG
rnacentral:rRNA from 1 species